GGGGUAGAAAGAUAUAGAAAUAGAACUGCGAACUCUGUGAUAUGCACUCUGGUCACAAGAUAUUAGAAUUCUGACCUCAUUGUUUGUCGCACAAUUUCUUGAAUGCUGACUCGAAAAUGCAAAGCAAUGAAGAGAGAAGAAACGAACCACAAAUUUAGGUUUACGAUAAUGUAGCAUUAAUGUAUCGGAGAGGGAGGUAUGUCUCAUAGUACAUUUGAGGCGAAAAAGAAAAGGGAAAAAAGCAACAAAGAAGGCAAAGAAAGAGAAGCUAAUGAGGUCGUUUCGGAAUAUUUAAGACUCAAAAUUUUUAUUGUAAUGAAGAAGGAGCAAGCAGCUGUCUUGUUGUAGAUAUAAAUAAUGUUUAGAUUUAUAAGUUUCUAUAUGGGUGGGUUAAGUAAGUUAUUAAGCAUUUUGUUGCAGCUUCUUUGUUUGAGAAGAUGAGGAAGGAAAAAGCACGGGAUCAGUUUGUUAUCCGAUCUGGUUUCGAUACUGAGGUUUUCUGGAAUGAUCCUAGACAUUUGAAGCCUGAGCCUGUUUACAAACGUCAAGUAUUUGGAAGGGGUAGGGAGGAGAUGGAUUUCUUGCAACAGCAAGGGAUUCAGGUGAAAAUUGUUCCUGGUAAGUGCAUUUUUGAAUGCUUGCAAUUUUAAGCACAGUUUCUAAGUGUUUCAAGUGACUCUAAUGAUAUGAAAAUUCCUGUUUGAGAAGUUAUAGUGUACUUAUUUCUCUUUGGACUAUAUUGGAUUAGAAUGUAACACCCGUUUAUGACUCAUGGGUACUAUUUAUUUGUAGUUUAGAUUUGAUUCAAGGUGCUCGAGUUUGUAGGUCGAACUAUGGUAGUUUGUGGGUUAUUCAUGCACUAUGGUAGUCUUGUGACAACUUUUAAGGUUUGAAAUAUAUUGUGAGCUAAAUUUGCUUACUGAUGUAUGUGUUCUUGAAUAUUCAUUUUUUGGGAAUUCUGAUAGUUCUGUUGAGAAAAAGUGGUUGUGAAAUAUUUUUGGGAGUGUGCUUCUUUGAACAGGUUCAAGGUAAAUUUUUGGUUUUGUUGUGGUAGCAUCAUUAUGCUGCCGAAAAUUUUCCAUCGUCUUCAUAUCUCAUAUCUAGGUAACAAGCUUCUCUUCUUCAAGAUCUUGAAAAAGAAGAUUCUCUCAUUUAUUCAACUAUUGAGUUUUCUUGUUUUGCAGAUGCAACAAAUGAGUAAAUAUUUGGUAUCGCAACCUCUUUAUGCUUUUUCUUGGGGAACUUUAGAUCCAACACAUUCACUACAAGAAUUUUGCCUUGAAUGUACCAUUUAUGCACAUUCCCAAUAAACACAGUUAGUUGAAUAUGAAUUCUUAUCACAUUUUCAGUUUCAAUCAUUUGUCUUAAACCUUUUUUGUUUGUGAUCCUUUGAACAACAGUGGUCAGACAAAGAUGUCUAUAACUAGACACUGCUGAAGCUAGGGGGUUGGUUCAAGAAGAAUUAUGAAGAGAUCCAUACUUACCAAGUGGAGAGAGACAAUAAUCUCAUAAUGUUUGUAUUACUUGUAAUUUGUGUUUUCAAGACCUAAAUUAUUGUACAACCUUUUAAAUUAUAAUUUUUUAGCAGAAUUUGUAGAUUAAAUGUAGUAGAUUUACAAUCCAUAAAUG